GGAAGACUUGAAUGUAAGCAGUUAGCAUAAGGGGAUCUCUUUCACUUCCAUUGCAGACUGAGAAGAGUUAGUCUUUCACGCAAAAGCAAGAUUCUGGCUCACAGGGAUCCAGGACACUUUGACAGCUGUCGCUUUGACUGCACAGGAGAGGAAUCGAGCUCCACUUGGUGCCAGAAGGAGCAGGAAAUUAGCCAGGCUGCAAGUUGAAAAUCUGCCACUCCAGUGCUUUGAAUCCAAAAUGCCACACCUUCCAGCGGAAGAAUCGAAUAUUGCCCUCCAGGACCAGUGUUCUGUUCUUCAUCCUGUGCAGAACCUCCUUAUACAGAGCUGGCUAUUGCCUUAUACAAAGGAUAAAGGGCUAGUGGUGCCGGGGAGCCUGGGAGAUCCGUAGCAGGACUGAGCACAGCUAAAGAAUGCAGCUCUAUUCUCGCAAGGGAAAUUAUAAAAAACUUCAUGUUCACGGUUCCCAUUCACAUGACCAGGAACGGCCAAUGGAAAAACCGAACAACUCAUAAACUUGUAUUGCAAAGUUGUAAAUUUUCAUAAACAACAACGGAUUUAUGGCCAUUGCCUCAUCACUAAGAAAGAGGCAGGUCUUACCAAGUCGCCAUCUUAAAUGAGAAUCAGACCUACUAACUGCACAUCCUCUUGUUAUUUUAGCCAGACUAGAUUGUAUAAAUAUAUAUUUCAUACACAUAAUAAAAGAGACUUGCUGUGAUUGUGCAACAAAA